rnacentral:rRNA from 1 species
GAUGGGUCCGCGURACCAUUAGCUAGUUGGUAGGGUAAAGGCCUACCAAGGCGACGAUGGUUAGRCUGGUCUGAGAGGAUGAUCAGCCACACUGGAACUGAGACACGGUCCAGACRUCCUACGGGAGGCAGCAGUGGGGAAUUUUGCGCAAUGGGGGAAACCCUGARCGCAGCAACGCCGCGUGAGUGAUGAAGGCUUUCGGGUCGUAAAGCUCUGURCAGUGGGGAAGAAAUGUAGGGCGGUUAAUACCCGUUUUACUUGACGGUACRCCACAAAGGAAGCACCGGCUAACUCCGUGCCAGCAGCCGCGGUAAUACGGRAGGGUGCAAGCGUUGUUCGGAUUUAUUGGGCGUAAAGCGCGUGUAGGCGGRUUUUUUAAGUCUGAUGUGAAAGCCCUGGGCUCAACCUGGGAAGUGCAUUGRGAAACUGGGAGACUUGAAUACGGGAGAGGGUAGUGGAAUUCCUAGUGUAGRGAGUGAAAUCCGUAGAUAUUAGGAGGAACACCGGUGGCGAAGGCGGCUACRCUGGACCGAUAUUGACGCUGAGACGCGAAAGCGUGGGGAGCAAACAGGAURUAGAU